AGCAGCCGCGGUAAUUCCAGCUCCAAUAGCGUAUAUUAAAGUUGUUGCAGUUAAAAAGCUCGUAGUUGAAUUUCGGGGUCAGUAAGUUGGUCGUGCCACUGGUAUGUACUGGCUUUACUGAUUCCUCCUUCUUGUAGAACCGUAAUGCCAUUAAGUUGGUGUUGCGGGUAAACAGGACUGUUACUUUGAAAAAAUUAGAGUGUUUAAAGCAAGCUAACGCUUGAAUACAUUAGCAUGGAAUAAUGAAAUAGGACGAACGAUCCUAUUUUGUUGGUUUCUAGGAUUGACGUAAUGAUUAAUAGGGAUAGUUGGGGGCAUUAGUAUUCAAUUGUCAGAGGUGAAAUUCUUGGAUUUAUUGAAGACUAACUACUGCGAAAGCAUUUGCCAAGGAUGUUUUCAUUAAUCAAGAACGAAAGUUAGGGGAUCGAAGACGAUCAGAUACCGUCGUAGUCUUAACCAUAAACUAUGCCGACUAGGGAUCGGAUGAUGUUAAUUUUUUUAAUGACUCAUUCGGCGCCUU
rnacentral:rRNA from 1 species